rnacentral:rRNA from 1 species
UGGCUCAGGAUGAACGCUGGCGGCGUGCCUAAUACAUGCAAGUCGAGCGAACGGACGAGAAGCUUGCUUCUCUGAUGUUAGCGGCGGACGGGUGAGUAACACGUGGAUAACCUACCUAUAAGACUGGGAUAACUUCGGGAAACCGGAGCUAAUACCGGAUAAUAUUUUGAACCGCAUGGUUCAAAAGUGAAAGACGGUCUUGCUGUCACUUAUAGAUGGAUCCGCGCUGCAUUAGCUAGUUGGUAAGGUAACGGCUUACCAAGGCAACGAUGCAUAGCCGACCUGAGAGGGUGAUCGGCCACACUGGAACUGAGACACGGUCCAGACUCCUACGGGAGGCAGCAGUAGGGAAUCUUCCGCAAUGGGCGAAAGCCUGACGGAGCAACGCCGCGUGAGUGAUGAAGGUCUUCGGAUCGUAAAACUCUGUUAUUAGGGAAGAACAUAUGUGUAAGUAACUGUGCACAUCUUGACGGUACCUAAUCAGAAAGCCACGGCUAACUACGUGCCAGCAGCCGCGGUAAUACGUAGGUGGCAAGCGUUAUCCGGAAUUAUUGGGCGUAAAGCGCGCGUAGGCGGUUUUUUAAGUCUGAUGUGAAAGCCCACGGCUCAACCGUGGAGGGUCAUUGGAAACUGGAAAACUUGAGUGCAGAAGAGGAAAGUGGAAUUCCAUGUGUAGCGGUGAAAUGCGCAGAGAUAUGGAGGAACACCAGUGGCGAAGGCGACUUUCUGGUCUGUAACUGACGCUGAUGUGCGAAAGCGUGGGGAUCAAACAGGAUUAGAUACCCUGGUAGUCCACGCCGUAAACGAUGAGUGCUAAGUGUUAGGGGGUUUCCGCCCCUUAGUGCUGCAGCUAACGCAUUAAGCACUCCGCCUGGGGAGUACGACCGCAAGGUUGAAACUCAAAGGAAUUGACGGGGACCCGCACAAGCGGUGGAGCAUGUGGUUUAAUUCGAAGCAACGCGAAGAACCUUACCAAAUCUUGACAUCCUUUGACAACUCUAGAGAUAGAGCCUUCCCCUUCGGGGGACAAAGUGACAGGUGGUGCAUGGUUGUCGUCAGCUCGUGUCGUGAGAUGUUGGGUUAAGUCCCGCAACGAGCGCAACCCUUAAGCUUAGUUGCCAUCAUUAAGUUGGGCACUCUAAGUUGACUGCCGGUGACAAACCGGAGGAAGGUGGGGAUGACGUCAAAUCAUCAUGCCCCUUAUGAUUUGGGCUACACACGUGCUACAAUGGACAAUACAAAGGGCAGCGAAACCGCGAGGUCAAGCAAAUCCCAUAAAGUUGUUCUCAGUUCGGAUUGUAGUCUGCAACUCGACUACAUGAAGCUGGAAUCGCUAGUAAUCGUAGAUCAGCAUGCUACGGUGAAUACGUUCCCGGGUCUUGUACACACCGCCCGUCACACCACGAGAGUUUGUAACACCCGAAGCCGGUGGAGUAACCUUUUAGGAGCUAGCCGUCGAAGGUGGGACAAAUGAUUGGGGUGAAGUCGUAACAAGGUAGCCGUAUCGGAAGGUGCGGCUGGAUCACCUCCUUUCUAAGGAUAUAUUCGGAACAUCUUCUUMAGAAGAUGCGGAAUAACGUGACAUAUUGUAUUCAGUUUUGAAUGUUUAUUUAACAUUCAAAUAUUUUUUGGUUAAAGYGAUAUUGCUUUUGAAAAUAAAGCAGUAUGCGAGCGCUUGACUAAAAAGAAAUUGUACAUUGAAAACUAGAUAAGUAAGUAAAAUAUAGAUUUUACCAAGCAAAACCGAGUGAAUAAAGAGUUUUAAAUAAGCUUGAAUUCAUAAGAAAUAAUCGCUAGUGUUCGAAAGAACACUACGACUCUGGUGUACCAG